CAGCUAAGACAAGGAGUACAUAAAAAUCACCAGUGGUUUGGAUUCCCUGUGGAUUGUUGCUGUUCUGUACUUCCAGUUAAAGAUGUGGAAAUGAAAGAAGAAAGAGCUUGCAAGCAGAAUGGAGGGCAGAAGACCCAUAAACUGUGUUACGGAGGAAUAACUCUGUGAAUGAGUCUUACAGAGUGAGAAAAAGAAACAUUUUGUAGGAGCAGAAUCCUCCUGUGCAAUGAACAAUGUACUUGUGAGAAAGCUAUGGUUCCAGAACUGCUACACUUGUAUACACGUAAAAGAGGACCACCACACCACACAUUCCAUUCAAGUGGCAUCAUCUCUCUGACUUCAUAUCUGCUCUCCUCUUCAGGACUCUAAGAGCUUAUUAUUUCUAGAACUGAUAGAACAACUAUAUGUGGAAACUUAUAUAUAUAUGUUUGGAGCAACAAGUAGGAGCAUCCUCACCAAUGCACAUCUUUAGGAAUUAUUCCCAGUGGAAUCUCCUGAGUGAAACAACUUCUACAAAAGCAACUGUAUGUACUUAAAUUUAAGUGGAAUAAUUCCAUGUAUUAUUUAGCUGUGAUAUUAAUGUACUAGAGCUGAGCUGCAUGAUAAAAUACUUCUUAAGGAGUCUUUCUGGUGAAAUAGCACAGUGACAAUCAAGUCAGUUUAUUAGAGAGAUGUUCAGAAACUAGGCUUCUGUUUUACGUAUCAGGGAAUGGAAAGACCAUAAAAGAAUUAUUCCACAGUUUUGAAGAGAGUAUUUACCCAUCUUAUUGUUUUGACAUCCUUCCUUUUAUGAAUUUGGUUAUCUAUAAACUGCAUUUUUAACAUUCAAAGUUUAUUUUAAAAGACUAUUUUUGUGUGCAAGAUAGGCGUGUAACAUAAUUCUGAGAAGAAACUAGUUGCCAUUUUAGUGUGUUGCUUUAUACGUUAAAUGGUUCUAGAGCAGCAAACCAAAUGAAGCCAUGAGACAGAAAUCUGAAUUUGGAAAAAGGACUAGGAGUGCUAAGAAGUAAUGGGAACAAUGCAGAAAAAUAUGCUGUAUUUUAGGCAAUAAAACAAAUAUCGUAUUU
rnacentral:lncRNA from 7 species